rnacentral:lncRNA from 1 species
GGAAGUGGUGCCAGGAAUAGCCCGGCAGAUCCGCCUGCAGCCCGGAGCGCUCCCUCCCGCCUCGGCCAGGGCGGGCUGCGGCUCCCGGGCCUCCGCCUCUCUCUCCCCCGUGCAACACCAGCCCCUCCGGCACUGUCAGGGUGACGGUGAUGAUCCUUUCCAAAAAGAGGGAGAGAAAUGACCUGCCUUAAGAUAAAUGCGUGAAGCGGGCGCCCCUUGGCCGCUGGAAUAUCUCUAUCUGUCUUUAUAUAUAAAGAAGCACCGCGAGCCACCUCACUCCAGGCAAGCCCUUAGCAAAGGAGCAACAAGAGCGCCCGGCGGGAUCAGCAACAACAACAACAACAAGGGCACCGGGAGGGCUUCCCUCCUUCCUCCUCGGUGACUUCCCAGUUCUGUCCUAAUAUGCUUACGGAGUCUGAAAAAUGCAACUCUAAUAUACAAGAAAUAUCAGCCUGCACACAAAAAAUUGUAAAGAAUAUCUCUGUUCUUAAAAAUGUGGGACCCUCUUCUGAUAUGUGAUCUACAGCAAGCUACUUUGAAUCGUACGAUGACAAUGUUAUCACUGCCACAUCUCUGGGAACCAGUUAUUCAUAAGUAUACGACAGGUGCCUGGUACAACACACGCACUGGGGCUGAAGCAAGUUUCCUCAUCUGCUCUCUGGCUAGUCGAGUGCUGGUUAAGAACUGCAUUCAACAGAAGUAGUAGGAAGAGAAGCGGCAAUUAAAGAGGCUUGGAAGACCAAGGGAGAGGAGGG